AUUUUCAAAAGUUUUUUUUAUUGAAAGUGGGAUUUGCACUUGUAGCAAUGUGCAUCUUAAAAACCUUGUUUAGUAGAAUUGAUAACAAAAUAGUAGCAAUAUGAUGUAGAAGUUGAGACGGAUCCAUGUGGUAAUUAGGGGUGUCAACUGACACUUUUAAAAUAUAGAAUUUUUUUGUAAGCUAGACAAGAGAAGUGUAGACAGCAUAAAUUUAUAUGUAUAUAUACUAUAAUAAAAGGGUUAUAUGAGGAAUAGGGAGGCUGUCCACGUCGACAACAAAAAUCAACCAAUGAGAAGAUUCAUUUUUGACACGUCAUCUCGGCUGUGCAUUGUUGGGCUUCCUUUAUUUUUUUGAGCCCAAAUAUUGAUGUCAAUGGAUAUUGAGAUGACUGACGAGACCGGAGCCACCGAAGAGUCUCCAUAAUUUCACGCUCUCGAACUUGAGGUGGGGGAGCCAGCAGACACUUCAAGUGCAUGAAGAUCGAUGUUUCCAUGAGUUCCAGCUAUCAUCGACUCCGACGGUGAUCUUCGUCUUUGCGAUUCGCGGCUCCUCUGUUUCGAUCCCGUUUCGGUUCGGCGAGUCUCCACUACAUCAUCAUAUUCGGCUGCACUAGGUUCAGUCCUUCCCGAAACACCGCCUUUUAUCCCGCGGUUUAUAUCCUUUUCACCUUGCUAUCAGAUUGUCUGCUCAAAUAUAUUACUAAUCUAAGAUCCACAUUCUUUUUGUUAUUUUUUUGUUUGGCUCCUUUAUACUGCUCAGUGAUCCUUUUUCUAGCUGAUUAAGAGGAACUCACCACUUUGGAUCGAGAAAGAUGAAAAUGAUGACGGCAAAAUUUAAUUGAUUCCACUUUGAAUUCGAGCAAGUUGUUUCCUUUCCCGAGUUUUUUCUUGGGUUUCCACUCAAACUAUGCUAAACUUUUGUUUUCUUUCAGAGUGGAUCAGCACAAGAACAGAUUGAAUCAUCAAAAGCUUGAGAAUUGUGAACCAGAAAGGAAAGCAGCCGACUUUAGGUUGAGUACUCGGCCUUUCCUCAGUCUUGUGGAGAAGAAAUGGUUGGCGUUUCAGUUACUUCUUGCUGUGAAGCAGUGCCAUGAGAAGGAUAUAUGUCAUGGUGAUAUCAAGUGCGAGAACGUCUUGGUCACUUCCGGGAACUGGCUUUACCUUGCUGAUUUUGCGUCCUUCAAACCUACAUACAUUCCUUAUGAUGAUCCUUCAGACUUUUCCUUCUUUUAUGAUACAAGGGAACGAAGGCUUUGUUAUCUGGCUCAAGAGUUGCCGUUACUGGAGUCAGAUUAAUGAUCGAAGCGGAAUACUCAUGGGGUUGAUAUGAUCCCUGCUUAAUAGAAAGGUAUUUGAUCUUACAUAACUGAAAGCCCAUGAAUUUGGACUUUACGGUUUGACGUGUUUGCAGAAAAACUAGAUGAAUGUGCCAGAGAGUUCAAAGAAAGGACGCAUAUCAUGGUGGCAGGUGGUGAUGAUACAAUUGGUUCGGUUGUCUCGAUACAACUUGGCUCUGUACGCUCUAAAAAUUCUUCAAUCCAAAUUGUAACAAGAAACAUCAGGAUUCUACAAGAGACGAGCCAGUAAUUUUCUUCGUUGGUAGCUUCUUUCUUUGCUGCAGUGUAUGUAACAAAAUCGAAAGAGUUCUUUCCCCAAACAAAAUUAGAAUUCAGCUCAAAAGUUGUAAUGUGUGCAUGUGCUAAGAAUGUAUAUCGCAUGGAGACAACAUGUCUGUAAGACAUUCUGACCCUCAGGUGAUGAUGAGGAUAGGUGACAGGUGGUUUCACUGGCAAUGAUAUGAGGAUAGGUGGCAGGUGGUGAUGGUAUAGUUGGUUUGGUUCUUGGUUGUCUCGAUGAGAGACACAGAGAAUGGCAUGAUGCUUUUGAUAUACACAACUUUGCUAUGUAAUUUCUACAAAUUCUUCAAUCCAAGUUAUAAUAAAAUUAUAUGUUUGAUACAUGGAUAAUAAUUUGAUCAUUAAAUGAGAAAACAUGAUGUUCAACCAAAAAAAGAAAAAGCAAACAUAAGAAAGUAUAGCUGUAACAAACAAUACUAACUUUUAUAUUGUGUAUCUAAUUAAAACAUUUACUCUAUUACAUUGAGUUAAUUAUUUCUUCUUUCACAAUAUCUAAAUCAAAAUUUAGGGGGAAAAGUAUAACAGAAUCAGAGUACCAAUUUUUUCAAAAACAAAUGUAUAAGAGUACAAAAAUAAAUCAUGAUUUUUUUGCUGUGUAUAAUUAUUUGCUUGAUGACAUAUUCUUUGAUUGUUUAGAGCAUUUCCAACCUCACUCUAUUUUUCAAUCUAAAAUAGAGUUUAGAGUAAAAAAUGCUCAAAUGGUAUUAUAUUUCUCACUGUAUAAUAGAGUGAAAAAUAGGUUUACUCCAAAUGUAGAGUAUUUUUUUUUUAUGUUCAUCAUUCUAUUUUCUACUCUAAAAUAGAGUAACUCUAUAAUAGAGUUUGAGUUUACUCCAUUGAAGAUGGUCUUAGGUCUGGAAUAUACGAUGACAUAUUCUUUGCUAUGAUAUGAAACUCCAAUAAAAUUGUGCUAGAAAUGUAAUACUUUAUUAAUUUAUAACAUUUUGUAAAAAUAUUUUCAAAUAGCAUGAGCGACAUUUCCAACAAAUAAUUUAUUAUAAAAAAUUCAACAAAUGCUAAAAUAAUUUACAAAACAUAAUUGGUAAAGCACUAAAAAUUAAAUUAAGAAAAUUUCAUUAUAAAUUGAAUAUCUAAUAUAAACUGAAAACAUAGAUUAUAAAACAUCAUUUUUUGUUACAAAAUAUAUAAUAAUUAUUAUUUAUGACAUUAUUGAAACUUUUAUAUUACUUUAAAGUAUAAUUAUUUAUAAUUUUAUCACAUUAUAUUUGAUUUUUGACUCAUUUAAGUUGGAGGUGGUGUAUUAUUAUCGGAGAAAAAUUAGUUAUUGUAAUAAUAUAAAAAUUUGAUACUCUUAGAAAUAAAAAAUAUAUUAGUUAUUAUUAUUUCAGAUUUUCUUCAACUAUAUCAAAUUGCAAUAGAUAUCAAAUAGAAAAAAAAUAUAAAUCAUUACAUUUUCUUUAGGUUUUUAAUUUAAUAAUUUUGUGUCUAACAAAAAAAAUGUGAAUGGUCUUUUCAACUCAAACCAACAAAACUGAAGUAAAUUUAUUAUUUUUUUUAUAAAAUUAAAAUAUAUUUUAGUAUAAAAUAGUUUUAGUGUAAAUUUAGUUUUAGUAAUAUAAAUAGUGUAAACAAAACCAUUAUAUACUCUGCAAAAAUAGAGAAACAAAAAUAGAAGAAACUACAAAAGAUAGGGAUGAUGACUGCAAUGUGUGUGUAAAAAAAUUUGUUGAAAUAAAUUUGAGAUUUAUUUAGCAAUUGCAUGGGUGGUGGCAAUGAUAAGUAACAACUAAAUUUAGUUUGGCCUUCCAAAUUAACUGAACACUGAUUAAUAAGUUAUUUAGUUAAAUAACAAUUGAAUACGACAGUUUCUAAAUUUAUGCAAAAUUAACCCAACAAAUUAGAUUGUAUCCAAUGAUAAAAAAAAAUUAUUUUAGAAUGCAUUUACAACCAAAAAAGAGAAAAUAAAAGCUGGUAGUAGAUGAGGAGGACGAUGUCAAGAAAGAAGGGCAUAGGUUCCUCACUUAGUAAGCAUGACUGAGUGAUCUUAUUUUCCGACAAAGAAGCUUAGCUUAUUUCUGAAGGAAAAGGUCAGGUUUUUGAUAGAAGCCUGGUUUUUUCAAUGGUUUGGUUUUGCUUAAUUAUGUCAUAUUUUCAUUUGUAUUGUUUUCUCAUGAACUA